CGAAAUGGCUCAGUUGGUAGAGCGACGCAUUCGUAAUGCGUAGGUCGUGGGUUCGAGUCCCAUUUUCGG
rnacentral:tRNA from 1 species